AGUGAACGCUGGCGGUAGGCCUAACACAUGCAAGUCGAACGGCAGCACAGUAAGAGCUUGCUCUUACGGGUGGCGAGUGGCGGACGGGUGAGGAAUACAUCGGAAUCUACUUUUUCGUGGGGGAUAACGUAGGGAAACUUACGCUAAUACCGCAUACGACCUACGGGUGAAAGCAGGGGAUCUUCGGACCUUGCGCGAUUGAAUGAGCCGAUGUCGGAUUAGCUAGUUGGCGGGGUAAAGGCCCACCAAGGCGACGAUCCGUAGCUGGUCUGAGAGGAUGAUCAGCGACACUGGAACUGAGACACGGUCCAGACUCCUGCGGGAGGCAGCAGUGGGGAAUAUUGGACAAUGGGCGCAAGCCUGAUCCAGCCAUACCGCGUGGGUGAAGAAGGCCUUCGGGUUGUAAAGCCCUUUUGUUGGGAAAGAAAAGCAGCAGGUUAAUACCCCGCUGUUCUGACGGUACCCAAAGAAUAAGCACCGGCUAACUUCGUG
rnacentral:rRNA from 1 species